AUGAAUGAUCGUCCAAGGCAAAAUGUGCUUGAACUGGGACAAAGAAUCAUCCCGUGGAGAAGACCCACAAAGAUGUGCAGCCGGGUCGGUGCUUUCCUUUCCGCCGGAAAGGUUGGAGUGGUGGCUAUCUCCCUCUGCCUUCAAAAAAAGUUUCACUCAGUAGCUAUCUUUUAUGGAGAGAGAGAGAGAGAAAAAGAACUUAACUAUAUUAGAAACUCACACAUAUUUUUUACGUUUGUUAAAAUUUGCAGAAAGGUUUUUGCGAGCGACCCAAUUAAAGCAACAAUCAUAAUGACAGACUCACUAUUUAAAUAAGAUUUGAUUUGUUUUUAUUCAACAAAGUUGUUAAGCCUCUACAAUGAGGUCAUACAGUAUUUCUGCCCAAAUCCACAUAAAGAUACAGAAAAUGACAUAAAGAGUGGAAAACAGCACACAGAGUAAAUAGAAAUAGAUGUUAAAAAAAAUGUAGAAAGAGAUUGAAGAUUACAUGUCCAGAGGUUAAAAAUUACAAUUACAUUACAGCAUUGCCAUAAAAAUAAUUGCUUUGUUCCGAAAAAAAUGUGUGUUGGGUGAUCCUCAGAAAAAGUCCAUCUGGAGAACUGGGAAAGGCAUCUCAGUGUUUGGAGAAUAGUCGAUCGGUAAGCGGUUGAAAUAUGCGCCAUCAGCAUGUCCGAAGUGUCUCGAGUCCGCAGAGUGUCGUUGGCUCGGUGUUUCUUCAAUAUCGGAGCUGUAGCAUUGUCGGUCGAAGUCUGGUAGCGAAGUCGUUGUUCCUCAAAUGAAUCUGCGUAUAAUGCGCUCCAGCAGGAACUGCCAAACAAGUUGUAACAUCUGCUGCCAGCAGGUUGCAUUCUGCGCUGUCGUAGUCGGCGAGCCUGAGCUCCGCCCAAAAUCAGGCUUCCACAGCGUUACGCAGCCGCAUAUGUUAAUGAUGUUCACGGAUGUAGUUUCUUCAGGCAUCGGAGCAAACGGCUGAAACACCACAGAAGAUGAAAUGAAUGAUCGUCCAAGGCAAAAUGUGUGAGCUCUGCAAGCUUUCCAUUCAAUUUAUAGGCUAUGACAGGUUACACAUUCCCAUGAAAUUGUCUUUCAGUUAGACACUGCUGCGCUCAUGGGUAGCCAAACACACCUAAUGUAGGAUGAAACAGCGCGGUAUUAAAGUGUUCGCGCAGCGCUGAACGGUCAUAGGUGCGGCUCAAGGAACCGAGCUGCGCGACCGACUCCACGGCGCGGAGAGGACGUGUUUAACAGCGCCACCGAACUGACAGCGCCGCGCGAACAUACUCUUCUUCUAAUAACGUUUUUAUGGCGGAUGGCAAACCAACUUUUAUAUAUAUAAAAGUUUUCCUGAUUAAUCCUAUUUCUUUAAUGUAUUCAACAAUACCAUAUAUUUUUACCUUGUUCUACAUGCUCUUUCAAAAAGGCUUGACUAAUUAAAUGAUUUAACACCCAUGUUUCUUACUUCCCAUGUUUAUUUUUAUAUGUAUAAAUAUAUAUAUAUAUAUAUAUAUAUAUAUAUAUAUAUAUAUAUAUUAUUUUGUACUUAGUUAUUAUUGUUAUUGUCUUCAAGUUCUACAUUCAGCACAAUAUUGCCCAUUUUAAAUUUUACAUAUUAUUUAUACUAUAUAUUUGGGAUUUUGGUUGUCUCUAGUAAAGGGAACAUUGAGCCAAUGAGCCGCGCCUAUGAUAUGACCGGUCAGCGCUGCGCGAACACUCUAAUACCGCGCUGUUUCGUCCCACAUUUGUCGCAGUUGUAACGUACACUGAAGGCUAAGUAGCUACAGAAAACCAUAAGGCUAAUUCAAAGUACCACACAACUGUCAAAGACACCCAUACACAAUAAGGAUAACAGAGCGGGUAAGUUGUCACAUGGUUAAGUUGUCACACUGUUCAUAACUCCAAAACUUGAGGCUCUAUCUCAAACAUCAAAUAGCCACUUUGUGUGACUUCUUCUUCAAUAGUCAAUUUCCUGUUCAAAUGUGGUCAAGAUCGCUCUAAUGUGAGUUUAGCACAAUUUCCUUAUUUUUUUGGCUUAAAAAGUAAAAAAAAAAAAAAAAUAAAAACUUCAAAUUGUAUGCAAUACAACUUUGUUAGGUAUGAAUGUUAAAAAAAUUAUUAUUUUUGCACAAAAAUAGAGUAGACAAUAACGUGUCUUUUUGAUACUUUAGCUGACGUGCUAUGUUGAGCUAACCUUGAGAUUUAUCCAACUUUAGCACACAGGUCAGUUUGGGGCAAGUUGUCUCAGUGACUUUGGGGCAAGUCGUCACAUAUGACAACUUGCCCCAAUACGCAUAAACACAUAGAACAUGCUCAAAAAACAUUGAGAUGUAUUUCUGGAAACUGGGUUUGCACCAUCCUACGUCAGAGAUCGACCCAUUCAGAACCCUGACCUGCCAGGCCCCAGCACCAACUCUGCCCUGCCUAGCAUGCCCAGUUGUGCUCCUGUUAUCACCAGCUCACCCUUACCCAGCAAUGCUAUUGGUGACAGCGGGCUACCAACUCCAGAGGACAUCCGGCCAUAUCCAGAAGCUGGCCCCCGAAAACCAGCCAGCAAAGAAAGAAAACGACGCAAAUUAACAAUUCUUACUGACACGCCCGUGAAGCAGCAACUAGAAAGAGAAAAGAAUAAGGCUGAAUCUAGCUAAAAGCUGUUUGAUUGUAUGUGAG
ensembl:lncRNA